rnacentral:rRNA from 1 species
UACGGGGGGGGCAAGCGUUGUUCGGAAUUACUGGGCGUAAAGGGCUCGUAGGCGGUCUGUUGCGUCAGGAGUGAAAACUCGGGGCUUAACCCCGAGCCUGCUUCUGAUACGGGCAGACUAGAGGUAUGCAGGGGAGAACGGAAUUCCGGGUGUAGCGGUGGAAUGCGUAGAGAUCCGGAAGAACACCAGCGGCGAAGGCGGCAUCCUGGACUGGUCCUGACACUCAGGAGCGAAAGCGUGGGGAGCGAUCCGG